UCCAGGGUAGCCUAGUGGACAUGGCAUCUGCCCGGUAAGCGGAACACUGUGGGUUCGAUUCCCUUCCCUGGAC
rnacentral:tRNA from 1 species